AUACGGAGGGGGCUAGCGUUGUUCGGAAUUACUGGGCGUAAAGGGCGCGUAGGCGGGCGGGAAAGUCUCUCGUGAAAUCCCACGGCUCAACCGUGGAAUUGCGGGAGAUACUACUCGUCUUGAGUUCGGGAGAGGAGUGUGGAAUUCCCAGUGUAGCGGUGAAAUGCGUAGAUAUUGGGAGGAACACCGGUGGCGAAGGCGGCACUCUGGACCGAUACUGACGCUGAGGUGCGAAAGCGAGGGUAGCAAACAGGAUUAGAAACCCCAGUAGUCC
rnacentral:rRNA from 1 species